rnacentral:rRNA from 1 species
UACGGAGGGUGCAAGCGUUAUCCGGAUUCACUGGGUUUAAAGGGUGCGUAGGUGGGCAGGUAAGUCAGUGGUGAAAUCUUUGGGCUUAACCCGAAAACUGCCAUUGAUACUAUUUGUCUUGAAUACCGUGGAGGUCAGCGGAAUAUGUCAUGUAGCGGUGAAAUGCUUAGAUAUGACAUAGAACACCAAUUGCGAAGGCAGCUGACUACGCGCAUAUUGACACUGAUGCACGAAAGCGUGGGGAUCAAACAGG